rnacentral:rRNA from 1 species
GAUGAACGCUGGCGGCGUGCCUAAUACAUGCAAGUCGAGCGAACGGACGAGAAGCUUGCUUCUCUGAUGUUAGCGGCGGACGGGUGAGUAACACGUGGAUAACCUACCUAUAAGACUGGGAUAACUUCGGGAAACCGGAGCUAAUACCGGAUGAUAUUUUGAACCGCAUGGUUCAAAAGUUAAAGACGGUCUUGCUGUCACUUAUAGAUGGAUCCGCGCUGCAUUAGCUAGUUGGUAAGGUAACGGCUUACCAAGGCAACGAUGCAUAGCCGACCUGAGAGGGUGAUCGGCCACACUGGAACUGAGACACGGUCCAGACUCCUACGGGAGGCAGCAGUAGGGAAUCUUCCGCAAUGGGCGAAAGCCUGACGGAGCAACGCCGCGUGAGUGAUGAAGGUCUUCGGAUCGGAAAACUCUGUUAUUAGGGAAGAACAUAUGUGUAAGUAACUGUGCACAUCUUGACGGUACCUAAUCAGAAAGCCACGGCUAACUACGUG